rnacentral:rRNA from 1 species
UACGUAGGGCGCAAGCGUUGUCCGGAAUCACUGGGCGUAAAGGGCGUGUAGGCGGGAAGGAAAGUCGGGCGUGAAAUCCCUGGGCUCAACCCAGGAACUGCACUCGAAACUUCUUUUCUUGAGUGCCGGAGAGGAAAGCGGAAUUCCUGGUGUAGAGGUGAAAUUCGUAGAUAUCAGGAGGAACACCAGUGGCGAAGGCGGCUUUCUGGACGGUAACUGACGCUGAGAACGCGGAAAGCGUGGGGAGCAAACAGG